UAUCUGCUGCCCGGGACAAAUAAAGUCCAAGUUACCCUGUAUUGCUUUACCGGACAAUCAGUCCUGCAAGCGGUCUUUAUUCAAUUUGUCCUAACUUUCAGCAUGUUUUGACUGGUUUUGCUUAGCCUACUCACCAUUACAAAACAAAACUCAUUAGAAAGAGUGGAUCUGGUCUGUGACAAGUGGAACAGAAGACCACGAGGGACACAGCCUAGCCUAACCUACAUAAAAAAAGAACAUACACGCUAGGAGAUAAAGGCAAUCAUGUCUGAUCUUUCUCACCCUCCCUACAACAGUGUCUACUAAGGCGUCUCAGUAAGGCGCAUCAAAGGCUGCUCCUCCGUGUCUUUAACUGGGUAACUUCAUCUCACUCUGACGAGUGACGUGAAUGAUGAGAACAAUGGGUUUGUGGACAAGAUGUAGAUGGAUUAGCAGAACUGAGCUGAGGUUCCACCCACGAUAGCAUCAGCGCAUGGGCACCUGAUGUAUUAUUUGAAGGGUCAUAGCAUGGUAACCCUGGUGCUCUGUUUUUAAUGGAAGCACCAGAGCAAAGUCCUGCAGCUCCUGAUCUCUGACCAGCAUGGGUCUACGCUGGCAGAACUUCCAGAAUGGCUGCAGCAUGGAGACCACAUCCAGCCCUGCACAGCUCCACCCCUGAAUCCCUGGGUUAUAUCCGCAUCCUGCUCAUAA